rnacentral:rRNA from 1 species
AGUGAACGCUGGCGGUAGGCCUAACACAUGCGAGUCGAACGGCAGCACAGUAAGAGCUUGCUCUUACGGGUGGCGAGUGGCGGACGGGUGAGGAAUACAUCGGAAUCUACUUUUUCGUGGGGGAUAACGUAGGGAAACUUACGCUAAUACCGCAUACGACCUACGGGUGAAAGCAGGGGAUCUUCGGACCUUGCGCGAUUGAAUGAGCCGAUGUCGGAUUAGCUAGUUGGCGGGGUAAAGGCCCACCAAGGCGACGAUACGUAGCUGGUCUGAGAGGAUGAUCAGCCACACUGGAACUGAGACACGGUCCAGACUCCUACGGGAGGCAGCAGUGGGGAAUAUUGGACAAUGGGCGCAAGCCUGAUCCAGCCAUACCGCGUGGGUGAAGAAGGCCUUCGGGUUGUAAAGCCCUUUUGUUGGGAAAGAAAAGCAGCAGGUUAAUACCCCGCUGUUCUGACGGUACCCAAAGAAUAAGCACCGGCUAACUUCGUG